UCAGCACUUCCACUCAGCACUCAGUGAUGGACGGGGUACGUGGGUAGUUCUUUUUUUGGAUGAAUGUUGGCAACAUGACUCUGGCAUAAUUACUACCCAUACUUUCCUCAAGUCAAGGUCUUGCUCUUAUACAUGCAGACACAGGAGCUGGUCAAGAAAAGCUGCACUGGGUUUUCUGGUUUUGGGCAGAAUCUCCAGAUAGAGAGGAAAUAUUCUUAAAUGGUGUGACCCCACCCAGAAAGCCUGCCCUUUUCCUCCAUGUGAAUUUGCCUCCAGCCUGUCUUCCUCAGGGGUCGCCCUUGGACACCAAGCCUGAAGCUGGCAUCCGAAAAGGGAAAUUCCCAGCCAUGGGCCCUGGGGCCAGAUUUCCAAGACUCAGAACUGCUCAGUUCCUGUUUUGUUGGAUGCAGAUGAGGUUGCCCAGCUGAGGAGAGACAAGUCCUCAGUUUUUCUGGUGGCAGCGGCUCUCAUCUCGGACUAAAUCCAGUUUUCUGCAUGGGGUGCUGAAGGAAGAGGCCUCUAUUCGAUAUCUGAAGCAAAAAGCUGGAUUCAUCGUUUGCAAGGCAGUAAACACGGCAGACUGCGGAUCUCCUGUAGAGUAUUUGGGAAGUGUGGGGCUGGGGAUUAGUAGACUCUUAACAGUGGGAGUAUUCAGGCAUUAAGCGACCUUCAGCAGAGGCAUCUUGGUCACUGGAGCAAGGCUGUUGCUGAUUGGCUGGCCCUCAGAAGCACAUAUACUGACCAGAGGAAGCUGUCCUUGAUGAAUUGGGACAGCCUGAAAACCUGUUCUCCUGGUUACUUGUUCCAGUGGCCAAAGAACAGUGAGUCUUUUCUUGAUCGGGAGGAUAGGAAAGAUUCUCGGUAGGAUCCCUUUUUUAUUUAAAUGUCAAAUAAUCCAGCUCAGAGAUUUUCAAACUUUAACAUGAAUCACAUCAGAUCACCCGGAGGGCUUGUUAGAGCAGACUAUUGGACCCCUCUCCUGCAGAGUUUCUGGUUAGGUAGGUCUGGGAAGGGAGCCAAGAAUCUGCACUUCUAAUGAGUUCCCAGGUGAUGCAGAUGCUCCUGGUCCAGGGACCACACUUUGAGAACUAC